GAUGAACGCUGACAGAAUGCUUAACACAUCAGCAAUUGAUUGGUGGCGGACGGGUGAGUAACGCGUAAAGAACUUGCCUCACAGGUAGGGACAACAUUUGGAAACGACUGCUAAUACCUAAUACUGUGAGAGAGCUUUGCGUCCCAUUAGCUAGUUGGAGAGGUAACGGCUCACCAAGGCGAUGAUGGGUAGCCGGCCUGAGAGUGUGAUCGGCCACAAGGGGAUGGGGACGCGGCCCUUAGUCCUACGGGAGGCAGCAGUGGGGAAUAGUGGCCAGUGGACCAAAGUCUGAUCCAGAAAUUCUGUGUGCACGAUUCAGUUUUCGGAAUGUAAAGUGCUUUCAGUUGAGAAGCGGUACCAACAGAAGAAGUGACGGCUAACUACGUGCCAGCAGCCGCGGUAAUUC
rnacentral:rRNA from 1 species